GGAUGCUCCAGUUGUCAUCCCUGCUGACUUGGAGAAAAUUCAAACAGAAAUGGAAAGAGCCCAUUAGUGAGUCCAAGGGAGGCUUGACACUACAUGCUCCUCGGGGCAGAGGCAGCCGACCCUAGUGACCUACCAGGCAAGACAUGCUGGCCGCGACUGGGCACUGAGAUAAAUGCUUGCCUGUGCGUGCACAGAGUACGCUUCGUUCAAUAUGAAAAGGUUGCAGAGCAGCACAGGCCUCCUUACCUGCAGGGAGCUCCUGCAGCUCUACGAGUUCCACGGUUAGAAUCUUUGGGCUUACAGUUCUGCUGAAGAAUCUACAGAACAAAAGCAUUGUUUGAAAUGGUAGCUGGGCACAAGGAACAUCAGCAGUGUGUUGGGAAGAGGCCUGGAUUCAGAGAAAGAACACAGAUUUUCG
ensembl:lncRNA